AGUAACUAUGUUCUGCAGGAGGGUUAUUUUGUAGUCAUUCUGUUGAUCUUCUUAUGUUAGCUCUAAAUAUAAUUGCUCGGUUUGUAAUCAUUCUUUCUCAUAUAAUUACAAUGAAUAUAAUGAUUCCUACAAUAGAAAUUGUAGACCCAAUUCUUGAUACUACGUUUCAUGAUGUAUAUGCGUCUGGGUAGUCAGAGUAUCGUCGAGGUAUUCCUGCUAAUCCUAGGAAGUGUUGAGGAAAGAAUGUUAAAUUUACUCCAAUGAAUAUAAUUGUAAAUUGGAUUUUUAAUCAUGUAUUAUUUAUAGUUAAUCCUGUAAAUAGUGGAUAUCAUUGAAUGACACCUCCUAUAAUUGCAAAUACUGCUCCUAUAGAUAAUAUAUAAUGAAAGUGGGCUACUACAUAAAAUGUAUCAUGUAAUACAAUAUCAAGUGAUGAAUUUGCUAAUACUAAUCCUGUUAAUCCACCAAUUGUAAAUAGGAAAAUAAAUCCUAGAGCUCAUAAUAAUGGUGGAUUGAACUUGAAUUUAGUUCCAUAUAAUGUAGCUAAUCAUCUAAAUACCUUAAUUCCUGUAGGUACAGCAAUAAUUAUUGUUGCUGAUGUAAAAUAUGCUCGUGUGUCAACAUCCAUUCCUACUGUAAAUAUAUGAUGUGCUCAUACAAUAAAUCCUAUUAGUCCAAUUGAUAGUAUAGCAUAAAUUAUACCUAGUGUUCCAAAUGAUUCAAUUUUUCCUCUUUCUUGACAUACAAUAUGUGAAAUAAUUCCGAACCCCGGUAGAAUUAAAAUAUAAACUUCUGGGUGUCCAAAGAAUCAAAAUAGAUGUUGAUAUAGAAUUGGGUCACCUCCUCCUGCAGGGUCAAAGAAUGUUGUAUUUAAAUUUCGAUCUGUUAAUAAUAUAGUAAUAGCUCCUGCUAAAACUGGAAGUGAAAGAAGGAGAAGUAAUGCUGUAAUAGCUACAGAUCAUACAAAUAAAGGUGUUUGAUCUAAAGUUAUACUUUCUGAUCGUAUAUUAAUUGCUGUUGUAAUGAAAUUCACUGCACCAAGAAUAGAUGAUACACCUGCUAAGUGCAGUGAAAAAAUAGCUAGAUCUACAGAUGCACCCCCGUGUGCAAUAGCUCCUGCUAGAGGAGGGUAAACUGUUCAUCCUGUACCAGCACCAUUAUCUACUAUAGAAGAUGUAAGAAGAAGGGUUAGUGAAGGUGGUAGUAAUCAAAAACUUAUAUUAUUUAUUCGUGGAAAUGCUAUAUCUGGUGCACCAAUUAUUAGUGGAACAAGACAAUUACCAAAUCCACCAAUUAUAAUAGGUAUUACUAUAAAGAAAAUUAUUACGAAUGCGUGAGCUGUAAUAAUAACAUUAUAAAUCAGGUCAUCCCCAAUUAGAGAUCCGGGUUGGCCAAGUUCAGCACGAAUAAGUAUUCUUAUUGAUGUUCCUACUAUUCCUGCUCAUGCUCCAAAUAUGAAGUAUAAAGUACCAAUGUCCUUAUGGUUUGUUGAGAAUAAUCAUUUUUG